rnacentral:lncRNA from 1 species
GAAGACACAGUGGUUUGUGAAAUUUGAAUAUGAAAACCAGUAGCAAAGGGAAGAAAAGCAAUUGGGGUGUUUGCCAGAUGGGAGAUGCCUCACUGCUCUUUCGAAGGCUGGUGAGGGCCACUUGAUAGGAAAAGGCUCACUGUCUCUAAUCUUUUGGUAUUCACUCAUGGCAGCCACAGACUUGAGACAGGUAUUGCUUAGAGAAGGAGUAGAUAGUGAUCCCUGUGGACACCAGAAGGCGUUUUUUUCCCCCUAUUUCUACUCUUUCGGGUCUCUGUUCUCUAAUUAAAAUUGGUGUUUUGGAAAAAGAGAACAUGAAUUCUGAAUACAGUAAUAAAUUAUAUCCUUCCCUCAGAUGGAAUUAAAAUGACUGCAGACUUGAGAUUUCCCUGCCUCUGAAAACUUAAUUUGAUAUUUUCUGUUACACACCAAGUAGUGAUUUGCAGAGGCACAGACUGUAAGAUUAAUUGAGGCAGCCAUCUCUUCUGGCGCAUCUAAUCUUACAUCUAAUUAUCUGAUCAUCUGAAUCGCAAAUACAGUAGUUAAAGGGUGUCUAUUUAAAGGGCAGCCACAAAAUGUAAAUAUUAAAAAGAAGCUCUCUGAUUCUCAAGAAGCAUACGUGGAGACUUACAAUAUCCAUUAUGUUAUGCAUGGUAUUAGGUCAGCAGGUCACAUAAAAAUGUGGUUAUGUUGUUCUAUCACUAAAAUGUGAAGAUGAUUCUGAAGUCUUGCUAGGCUUGUUUUGACAAUUAACCUCCAUUAGUAUUCUAGACCACAUAAGAGAAAACUCUUAAAAGGCUCUCUUUUUCAUGAAUGUACUGUCAAAUUGACUUCAUCAUUUAAAUAGGACUGUAGUCACAGUAAAUGAUGAGUUGAUAUUUAUACAAAGCAUAACCUUAAUUAAAAUAUUAUGAGCAAUUAAACCCAGUGUUCAUGGAAUUAUUGUACAUUUAUAUGUAAUAGAGUAAAAACAUUGCAUAGGACUGUUAAGCUUUUUGUAUGAAUCUAAUUAACUUUGACAAGCUUUGGGCUUUUCUCCCCCUUAUCUUCAGAAGUGCUGUAGAUAAAUGUACUUGCAUCUGGAAAACUUCAAACAGUUUUGAUCAGCAAUUCAGGUCUGAUUUAAAAUGUAUGUAUUGAGGUGCCCUCUUAAAUACAGGGUUGAUAGGCAUGCAAUGCACACCUUCUUGUAACAGGAAGGCAGACGUGGAAGGGAGAACAGCUGUACUCUGGAGUCGCCAGUGGGUAUUGUUUUUGUCACAAUUUAAUGUCAGGCUGCUGCUGUGAGGUCUUUGUAUAUGUGGCUCUGGUUAAUGAAAAGGUGAACUCACACUGCUGGUUCCCUGGAAGGCAAUUAGGAGGGAGACAUUGCUCCUCACCCUUAACACUCCUAUAACCCUACGGGAACGGAGGCACUAGGAGGAAAUCCAAGUUCCUAUGGAAUCCCGGGGACUUCUUGUAUUUCAUAAGUGAGGGAACGAAGUUCUCCUGCAAACAGUGAAUUACGACAUUCAGGAUACUGUAGUUCUUGUUCUACUGUGGAUUUCCUAAAAUCCCACUGAGGAUUGGCCCUGACAAGAAGCUAGGAAUUUCCCAGUGUAAUUUCUGUGUUUCAAAGGUAAUGACAAUAACGGCCACAAUUGUUACAUUUUAUUCGGUACCAAUCAUUUAGGUGAUAUGCAUGCAUGAUUUUAUUUAAUCUUCACCCCAACACUUUGAAGUAGGUAAGAUUUCCAGUCUAAACUGGUGCCCAGAGGAUUUAUGUCCUUCUCAAAGGUAUAGCCACAAAGUCUUGGCACAAGAUAAGCCAUAUAAAUAAAUAAAUAAAGAUUGAUAAGGAGACAAUCAUAUUUUUAUAUAUAAAUACAUAUUUAUAGAUAAAUUGACAUUAAAUAUUGAAUGAGAAAGAAAUUAAGUGAAAAAUGUAACAAAACAGUAUGCAAUAGUAUGGACCUAUUUAUGCAAAAAAUACAAAAAAAGAGUAAGUGUGGAUCUAUCUCUCCAUCUAUCUAUACACACAGUCAUAUGUAUAUAAAUGCAGAUAAAGAGAACCAGAAUCGAGCACACUAGAUGGCUGACAGUGGGUAUUUGAGGUAGCUGAGCUGGGGGAAGGACAAGUCGAAUGAUUUUUUCCAAGUUUUUUUAGUAAUUAUUUUAAUUCAUGUGUUGCUUGGGUAAUUACAAACUUAAAGAUCAAGAAAGGACCUUUCUGCUCAAGUGAACAUUUGAAAAUGAAAAUAGGUUAGGGGCACCUGGAUGGCUCACUAGGUUAAGCAUCCCUCUUUGGCUCAGGACAUAAUCUCAUGGCUCUUGAGUUCGAGGCCCACCUUGUGGAGCCUGUCUGGAUUUCCUUCUCUCGCCCUCUCUCUGCCCCUCUCCCCACACUCUCUCUGAAAAUAAAUAAAUAAAUAUUAAAAAAAAGAAAAUGAAAAUAGCUUAAAAGAGAAAGUGGUGACAACGCUGAUGUCAGCUAGAGCUAUCUGCCCCCAAUAUUUGUGCUUUUUCUACUAAACUAUGUGGCCUUUUAAAAUGUGUGAUUAAAAUGUUUCAAGAAUCCCAUGAAAGGGGAUGGUGAAUCUCCUGACUCCCUUUGGUCCUUAGAAAACCCUGCUUAUACAUAGCUGACUUGGGAAUACAUCAGAAUUCCAUCCUUAAUCUAUUUGAGCCAAUCAAUAUAUGUCGAGUACCUAUGAUGUGUCGCUUGCACUGUAAAACCCAGAGGGGACUGAGGAGAUGAAUAAGGCACUGACUCUGCCCUUAAGGUGUUUACAGCAUCAUGAACAGGCACACUGGUAUCCAAACCACUGAUAGACAGAGUCCAGUGUCAUACCUGUGGUAGCAAUGGGAGGAACAAUGUGCCAUGGGACAUUCAAGAGGGGCAGUAAGGCUGGGGCUUCCAUAAAAAUCUUUUGGGACCUAGGUUUAUAUCCAGGAGCUGGGCAUGAUGUCAGAUACUAAGAGGUGGCCCUGUCCUCAAGGACUAUGUGUUAUUGUAGGAAAGAGAACAUUAAAACAUGGGGAAAUAAUAAAAAGCAAGAAUUGCCAGAAAAAGUAUAUAACUGAAUGCCAAGUAAUGUAAGUUAGGCCCUAAGUGAAAUAGGAAUUCAGAAAAUGAAAUGAUCACCGUGGGUAAGGUUUAUAAAGGAAGGUUUCAUAAAGAAAUAAAUUACCAGCAUUUUCAUCUGCUUAGUAGUGGCUCUCUAAAAGAGCAGUGGCUAGUCUUGAAAUUUACACGUUGAAAUUAACCUUUGAGUAGAGUGUCUUCAUUUUCUGACCCUUGUUCAAAAAUAAACAAACAGAAUAAUGAUUAAAUGCAUCCAUAGCUUCACUUGUGUGUGUGUGUGUCUAUUUAUAUAUAUAUAAAUAUAUAUAUAUUAUUUAUAUUUAUAUUUAUGUGUGUGUGUGUGUAUAUAUAUAUAUAUCAGGCAUCACAGAUGUCUCCCUUCCUUUUUUUUCUUCUCCUUCCUCCCUUGCUGUCUCCAUCCUUCCCCUUCUUCUCUUCCUCCCCACCUUCCUUCCUUUUAUUCCUGCUAGUAUUUCUAAGACAUUGUACAUAGAGUCACCACACUUAGUUUAAAAAAAAAAAAAAAAAGAAAAAGA